UACGUAGGGUGCGAGCGUUGUCCGGAAUUACUGGGCGUAAAGAGCUCGUAGGUGGUUUGUCGCGUUGUUCGGGAAAACUCACAGCUCAACUGUGGGCGUGCGGGCGAUACGGGCAGACUGGAGUACUGCAGGGGAGACUGGAAUUCCUGGUGUAGCGGUGGAAUGCGCAGAUAUCAGGAGGAACACCGGUGGCGCAGGCGGGUCUCUGGGCAGUAACUGACGCUGAGGAGCGAAAGCGUGGGGAGCGAACAGG
rnacentral:rRNA from 1 species